UUAAGCGACCAAGCGUACACGGUGGAUGCCCUGGCAGUCAGAGGCGAUGAAGGACGUGCUAAUCUGCGAAAAGCGCCGGUAAGGUGAUAUGAACCGUUAUAACCGGCGAUGUCCGAAUGGGGAAACCCAGUGUGACUCGUCACACUAUCAUUAACUGAAUCCAUAGGUUAAUGAGGCGAACCGGGGGAACUGAAACAUCUAAGUACCCCGAGGAAAAGAAAUCAACCGAGAUUCCCCCAGUAGCGGCGAGCGAACGGGGAGGAGCCCAGAGCCUGAAUCAGCAUAUGUGUUAGUGGAAGCGUCUGGAAAGGCGCGCGAUACAGGGUGACAGCCCCGUACACAAAAGCGCAUGUGCUGUGAGCUCGAUGAGUAGGGCGGGACACGUGGUAUCCUGUCUGAAUAUGGGGGACCAUCCUCCAAGGCUAAAUACUCCUGACUGACCGAUAGUGAACCAGUACCGUGAGGGAAAGGCGAAAAGAACCCCGGCGAGGGGAGUGAAAAAGAACCUGAAACCGUGUACGUACAAGCAGUGGGAGCAUGAGUUUACUCAUGUGACUGCGUACCUUUUGUAUAAUGGGUCAGCGACUUAUAUUCUGUAGCAAGGUUAACCGUAUAGGGGAGCCGGAGGGAAACCGAGUCUUAAUUGGGCGUUAAGUUGCAGGGUAUAGACCCGAAACCCGGUGAUCUAGCCAUGGGCAGGUUGAAGGUUGGGUAACACUAACUGGAGGACCGAACCGACUAAUGUUGAAAAAUUAGCGGAUGACCUGUGGCUGGGGGUGAAAGGCCAAUCAAACCGGGAGAUAGCUGGUUCUCCCCGAAAGCUAUUUAGGUAGCGCCUCGUGAAUUCAUCUCCGGGGGUAGAGCACUGUUUCGGCCAGGGGGCCAUCCCGGCUUACCAACCCGAUGCAAACUGCGAAUACCGGAGAAUGUUAUCACGGGAGACACACGGCGGGUGCUAACGUCCGUCGUGAAGAGGGAAACAACCCAGACCGCCAGCUAAGGUCCCAAAGUCAUGGUUAAGUGGGAAACGAUGUGGGAAGGCCCAGACAGCCAGGAUGUUGGCUUAGAAGCAGCCAUCAUUUAAAGAAAGCGUAAUAGCUCACUGGUCGAGUCGGCCUGCGCGGAAGAUGUAACGGGGCUAAACCAUGCACCGAAGCUGCGGCAGCGACACUGUGUGUUGUUGGGUAGGGGAGCGUUCUGUAAGCCUGCGAAGGUGGCCUGUGAGGGUUGCUGGAGGUAUCAGAAGUGCGAAUGCUGACAUAAGUAACGAUAAUGCGGGUGAAAAACCCGCACGCCGGAAGACCAAGGGUUCCUGUCCAACGUUAAUCGGGGCAGGGUGAGUCGACCCCUAAGGCGAGGCCGAAAGGCGUAGUCGAUGGGAAACGGGUUAAUAUUCCCGUACCUGGUGUUACUGCGAAGGGGGGACGGAGAAGGCUAUGUUGGCCGGGCGACGGUUGUCCCGGUUUAAGCGUGCAGGUGUGUGUUCCAGGAAAAUCCGGUUCACUUUAACACUGAGGCGUGACGACGAGGCACUACGGUGCUGAAGCAACAAAUGCCCUGCUUCCAGGAAAAGCCUCUAAGCCUCAGGUAACAUCAGAUCGUACCCGAAACCGACACAGGUGGUCAGGUAGAGAAUACCAAGGCGCUUGAGAGAACCCGGGUGAAGGAACUAGGCAAAAUGGUGCCGUAACUUCGGGAGAAGGCACGCUGACACGUAGGUGAAGCGGUUUACCCGUGGAGCUGAAGUCAGUCGAAGAUACCAGCUGGCUGCAACUGUUUAUUAAAAACACAGCACUGUGCAAACACGAAAGUGGACGUAUACGGUGUGACGCCUGCCCGGUGCCGGAAGGUUAAUUGAUGGGGUCAGCGCAAGCGAAGCUCCUGAUCGAAGCCCCGGUAAACGGCGGCCGUAACUAUAACGGUCCUAAGGUAGCGAAAUUCCUUGUCGGGUAAGUUCCGACCUGCACGAAUGGCGUAAUGAUGGCCAGGCUGUCUCCACCCGGGACUCAGUGAAAUUGAACUCGCUGUGAAGAUGCAGUGUACCCGCGGCAAGACGGAAAGACCCCGUGAACCUUUACUAUAGCUUGACACUGAACACUGGUCCUUGAUGUGCAGGAUAGGUGGGAGGCUUUGAAGUGUGGACGCCAGUCUGCAUGGAGCCGUCCUUGAAAUACCACCCUUUAAUGGCUGGUGUUCUAACGUAGACCCGUGAACCGGGUUGCGGACAGUGUCUGGUGGGUAGUUUGACUGGGGCGGUCUCCUCCUAAAGCGUAACGGAGGAGCACGAAGGUUGGCUAAUCCUGGUCGGACAUCAGGAGGUUAGUGCAAUGGCAUAAGCCAGCUUGACUGCGAGCGUGACGGCGCGAGCAGGUGCGAAAGCAGGUCAUAGUGAUCCGGUGGUUCUGAAUGGAAGGGCCAUCGCUCAACGGAUAAAAGGUACUCCGGGGAUAACAGGCUGAUACCGCCCAAGAGUUCAUAUCGACGGCGGUGUUUGGCACCUCGAUGUCGGCUCAUCACAUCCUGGGGCUGAAGUAGGUCCCAAGGGUAUGGCUGUUCGCCAUUUAAAGUGGUACGCGAGCUGGGUUUAGAACGUCGUGAGACAGUUCGGUCCCUAUCUGCCGUGGGCGCUGGAGAACUGAGGGGGGCUGCUCCUAGUACGAGAGGACCGGAGUGGACGCAUCACUGGUGUUCGGGUUGUCAUGCCAAUGGCACUGCCCGGUAGCUAAAUGCGGAAGAGAUAAGUGCUGAAAGCAUCUAAGCACGAAACUUGCCCCGAGAUGAGUUCUCCCUGAGACUACAAGUCUCCUGAAGGAACGUUGAAGACGACGACGUUGAUAGGCCGGGUGUGUAAGCGCAGCGAUGCGUUGAGCUAACCGGUACUAAUGAACCGUGAGGCUUAACCUU
rnacentral:rRNA from 1 species